rnacentral:rRNA from 1 species
GAUGAACGCUGGCGGCGUGCCUAAUACAUGCAAGUCGAGCGGUAACACUUCGGGUGACGAGCGGCGGACGGCAGAGUAACGCGGAGGAAUGUACCCCAACUGAGGGAUAACUGCCCGAAAGGGUAGCUAAUACCGCAUGUGAUCUUCGGAUUAAAGCUUUAGCGGUUUGGGAACGGCCUGCGUAUGAUUAGCUUGUUGGUGAGGUAAUGGCUCACCAAGGCGACGAUCAUUAGCUGGUCUGAGAGGAUGAUCAGCCUGACUGGGACUGAGACACGGCCCAGACUCCUACGGGAGGCAGCAGUAGGGAAUUUUCCACAAUGGGCGAAAGCCUGAUGGAGCAACGCCGCGUGCAGGAUGAAUGCCUUCGGGUUGUAAACUGCUUUUGUUUGUGACGAUUAUGACGGUAACAAGCGAAUAAGGGUCUGCUAACUACGUGCCAGCAGCCGCCGUAA